rnacentral:tRNA from 1 species
GAGCGAUUAGCUCAGCUGGUUCAGAGCAUUCCGAUUUUUAAUCGGAAGCGGUCGAAGGUUCUAACUUCCCGAUUGCACU